GUAGCCACAGUCUUUCUAGUAAGACUAUGUGGUACGGGACCAUAAACCCAUAACACAAAUACUUUUUAUCUCCCCUAUAAAAAGUAACCAUAGUCUUACUCAAAAGAGUAAGACUAUGGUGUAUGGGGUCACCAUAUAAAAGGCAAGCAAUCAAUAAGUAUCUAUUCCUCAAUUUGUAAACCCAUAAGAUCACAUCAAUUUAAAAUAUUGACUUCAGCAAAACAAUUUAACGUGUAUCUUCUAUGAUGUCUUUGGUUUUCGUAAUAAAUGCUUGUUGGGCUUGUUGUA